rnacentral:antisense_RNA from 1 species
UGACAACGUUCUGCGGUCAUAGGCAAACAAACCAGUCCUCUGGCAUGCUUAACCAUAAAGUUAAUUGCCUCGGGCGUUACGUGUUCAGCAGCCAUGAU